rnacentral:rRNA from 1 species
AGGACGAACGCUGGCGGCGUGCCUAACACAUGCAAGUCGAACGCCCUCCAUUCGGUAGCAAUACUGAUGAGAGGGAGUGGCGAACGGGUGAGUAGCACGUGAGCAACCUGCCCCGAAGACUGGGACAACACCGGGAAACCGGUGCUAAUACCGGAUAUCCCUAUCGGACCGCAUGAUCUGAUAAGGAAAUGGAUUCCGCUUCGGGAGGGGCUCGCGGCCUAUCAGCUAGUUGGUGAGGUAAUAGCUCACCAAGGCAUCGACGGGUAGCUGGUCUGAGAGGACGAUCAGCCACACUGGGACUGAGACACGGCCCAGACUCCUACGGGAGGCAGCAGUGGGGAAUCUUGCGCAAUGGGCGAAAGCCUGACGCAGCAACGCCGCGUGGAGGACGAAGGCUUUCUGAGUUGUAAACUCCUUUCAGCAGGGACGAUUGUGACGGUACCUGCAGAAGAAGCACCGGCCAACUACGUGCCAGCAGCCGUA